rnacentral:rRNA from 1 species
UACGGAAGGCAGCAGUGGGGAAUAUUGCACAAUGGGCGAAAGCCUGAUGCAGCUAUGCCGCGUGUAUGAAGAAGGCCUUAGGGUUGUAAAGUACUUUCAUCGGGGAGGAAAAACAAAACUAAUAAUUUUAUUUCUUGACGUUACCCGAAAAAGAAGCACCGGCUAACUCCGUGCCAGCAGCCGCGGUAAUACGGAGGGUGCUAGCGUUAAUCAGAAUUACUGGGCGUAAAGAGCACGUAGGUGGUUUUUUAAGUCAGAUGUGAAAUCCCUGGGCUUAACCUGGAACUGCAUUUUGAAACUGAAAUACUAGAGUAUCGUAGAGGGAGGUAGAAUUCUAGGUGUAGCGGUGAAAUGCGUAGAUAUCUGGAGGAAUACCUGUGGCGAAAGCGGCCUCCUAAACGAAUACUGACACUGAGGUGCGAAAGCGUGGGGAGCGAAACAGGGAUUAGAUACC